GACGGACGCUGGCGGCGUGCUUAACACAUGCCAGUCGAACGGAAAGGCCCCAGCUUGCUGGGGUACUCGAGUGGCGAACGGGUGAGUAACACGUGGGUGAUCUGCCCUGCACUCUGGGAUAAGCCUGGGAAACUGGGUCUAAUACCGGAUAGGACCGUGCUUUAGUGUGUGCGGUGGAAAGUUUUUCGGUGCAGGAUGAGCCCGCGGCCUAUCAGCUUGUUGGUGGGGUAAUGGCCUACCAAGGCGGCGACGGGUAGCCGGCCUGAGAGGGUGUACGGCCACAUUGGGACUGAGACACGGCCCAGACUCCUACGGGAGGCAGCAGUGGGGAAUAUUGCGCAAUGGGCGCAAGCCUGAUGCAGCGACGCCGCGUGGGGGAUGACGGCCUUCGGGUUGUAAACCCCUUUCGGCAGGGACGAAGCUUUUGUGACGGUACCUGCAUAAGAAGCACCGGCUAACUACGUG
rnacentral:rRNA from 1 species